ACAUUAUUGUAAAACCUAAAACACACUUAACCGUUUAUUUAAGCAACAUCCAAAGAGCUCACAAGUGCAAGCAUCAGAGCAUCAUGAAGAAGAGAAAUCUGCAGAGACAGAGUUUAUUGAAGGACAGAGAGAACAUGAAGAUCCAGAACCCUGCAGAAUCAAACACACUGAAGAACAAACAGGGAACCAGCCGUCCACAUUUUCUGGAGACAGUCCUGGUUGUUGGUGUCCUGUCCUCGGAAAUGCCCCCGUUUUACACCACGUUCAUUUCACAUCAUCCAGCAGAUAAACUGUAAAAAGCCGGACUAAUGUAGCUGGCUGGUUAUGGAAGCAAUCGUCUAGUGAUUAUUAUCACCAAAAGAGGGCACUGCCAGCUUCACUGAUUACAUACUUUUUUGUAUUGUGGAUUCAUAAAGUCAUAAUCUUGUUAUAUUAUGUUCUGUUCGCUAGUUGUAGUAUUUAUUAUUUACUGUUUCAUAGCCUGACUUUUGCUGAACUGUAUUAAAACUAUGGUCAGUUUGACCUACAAACAUCGCUCAUAAUAAUUAUGAAUUCUAAUAUUAUUAUAUGGAAGUUGGAAACCACAACAAUUAAAA